rnacentral:sRNA from 1 species
CGAUCUGGAACGACGAGCGGGAGUGGGGGAACCAAUUCCGGAGACGCGGCGCCGCCGUGGCUCCUGGGGUGAAGUUCCCUGGUGCGGGCCCGUCCCGCGCCGGGAGACCGGGCACCUUCCGCCCGAACCCGACAGCUCACCUCGCAGGCGUGGCGAAGGAACUC